GACCCCUCUUCUAGCCUCUGCCCCGACUCCAGUGGUGCUAUCCCUGUGCCUUAAUUCAUGACCGCCGCCCCUCUGCUGCAAUUUGGCAGCACAACCACCACUGGUGAGGUGUUAAUGGUGGAUGGAGGAUAGAUUCAUCAUGGGUUUGGUUUCGGACCGGAGAAAAUAGUGCCAAAUCCUUUAUUGUGUUUCUGCUCGACAGUGCCGAAGACGACACAGAGCUAUGCCGUAGUCGGAUCUUGGAGUGAAGAAUUUUCAGCAGCCAACGUCCCUUAAUGGCAGCAAGUUCCAGCCAGCAACUCUUUGGUUUCAGUACAAACCGGU